rnacentral:rRNA from 1 species
GACGAACGCUGGCGGCGUGCUUAACACAUGCAAGUCGAACGAAGUGGCGAACGGGUGAGUAACGCGUAAUCAACCUGCCCUUCAGAGGGGGACAACAGUUGGAAACGACUGCUAAUACCGCAUACUGAAGGAGGGGAUUGCGUCUGAUUAGUUAGUUGGGGGGGUAACGGCCCACCAAGGCGAUGUUCAGGAGCCGGUAUGGGGGGAUGAACGGCCACAUUGGGACUGAGACACGGCCCAGACUCCUACGGGAGGCAGCAGGGGGGAAACUUCCGGAAUGGACGGAAGUCUGACGGAGCAACGCCGCGGGAGUGAUGACGGCCUUCGGGUUGUAAAGGUCUGUUAAUCGGGACGCGGUACCGGAAUAGAAAGCCACGGCUAACUACGUGCCAGCAGCCGCGGUAAUAC